AUACGGAGGGGGCUAGCGUUGUUCGGAAUUACUGGGCGUAAAGCGCACGUAGGCGGAUUAAAAAGUUAGAGGUGAAAUCCCAGGGCUUAACCCUGGAACUGCCUUUAAAACUAGUAGUCUAGAGUUCGAGAGAGGUGAGUGGAAUUCCAAGUGUAGAGGUGAAAUUCGUAGAUAUUUGGAGGAACACCAGUGGCGAAGGCGGCUCACUGGCUCGAUACUGACGCUGAGGUGCGAAAGCGUGGGUAGCAAACGGGAUUAGAAACCCCAGUAGUCC
rnacentral:rRNA from 1 species